AUACAUAAUAAUACCAGUACUACAUACAGUACAUAGCAAACAUCACAGACACAGGCGGUUCUUCUGGAAGGUUCUCCCAUCUCCACAGAGGAACUCUUGUUACAGGUGGUUCUUCUGGAAGGUUCUCCCAUCUCCACAGAGGAACUCUUGUUACAGGUGGUUCUUCUGGAAGGUUCUCCCAUCUCCACAGAGGAACUCUUGUUACAGGUGGUUCUUCUGGAAGGUUCUCCCAUCUCCACAGAGGAACUCUUGUUACAGGUGGUUCUUCUGGAAGGUUCUCCCAUCUCCACAGAGGAACUCUUGUUACAGGUGGUUCUUCUGGAAGGUUCUCCCAUCUCCACAGAGGAACUCUUGUUACAGGUGGUUCUUCUGGAAGGUUCUCCCAUCUCCACAGAGGAACUCUU